rnacentral:rRNA from 1 species
CAGUAGCCACGGUAAUACGGAGGGGGCUAGCGUUGUUCGGAAUUACUGGGCGUAAAGCGCACGUAGGCGGCUUGGUAAGUUAGAGGUGAAAGCCCCGGGCUCAACUCCGGAAUUGUCUUUAAGACUGCCGAGCUAGUAGGUGAGAGAGGUAAGUGGAAUUCCGAGUGUAGAGGUGAAAUUCGUAGAUAUUCGGAAGAACACCAGUGGCGAAGGCGGCUUACUGGCUCAUUCUAGACGCUGAGACGCGAAAGCUAGGGGAGCGAACGGGAUUAGAUACCCCUGUAGUCCCUGUCUCUUAUAC